UACGGAGGGUGCAAGCGUUAAUCGGAAUUACUGGGCGUAAAGCGCACGCAGGUGGCUGAGUCAGUCGAUUGUGAAAGCCCUGGGCUUAACCUGGGAAUUGCAGUCGAUACUACUCAGCUAGAGUAUGGGAGAGGGUAGUGGAAUUCCCGGUGUAGCGGUGAAAUGCGUAGAUAUCGGGAGGAACAUCAGUGGCGAAGGCGGCUACCUGGCCCAACACUGACACUCAGGUGCGACAGCGUGGGGAGCAAACAGG
rnacentral:rRNA from 1 species